rnacentral:misc_RNA from 1 species
AAGUCGUAACAAGGUUGGACAGCAAUACUUAAUGAUUCCUUUCUCACAAAAGGUUCAUUUGCUGAAGCCUGAGCAGCUAUCUUUGUAACAAGAGAUAGUGCCGAGAGCGACUUCUGAUAAAUAAAUACUCGAGAUUAAAUGCUAGUCGAAGUUCUCUCUUUUCAUUGAGGAGAGAAUGUAUGCAACACUGCUUAAUUGCUGGAAGUUCCUAAAGCUUUAUCGUACCAAGUUGAGAAGGGCAACCUUUAUUCAAUGGCUCUACUUUCUUCGGAUGAAAUACUCUGAGGAAGUCGAGGGAUGGUUA